rnacentral:lncRNA from 1 species
CCCCUACCUUCACCAUACCCCAUAGGCUUAACUGUUUGGUCAGGAUCUUCUGGUUCACUCGCCAGGGACUGCACUUUAUGAUCAGGCUUUUCUUUGUGAUCGAGCAUAGUUUUAGGAUCAGGUUCUUCUAGCUCACCCCACAUGGGUUGCAGUUCAUGAUCAGGCAUGACCUUGUCCUCAGGCUCCUCUGGUUCACCUGGCAUGGACCGCAGCAUAUGGUCAGGCAUGAUCUUGUCCUCAGGCUCCUCUGGUUCACCCGGCAUGGACCGCAGCAUAUGAUCAGGCAUGAUCUUGUCCUCAGGCUCCUCUGGUUCACCUGGCAUGGAGUGCAUUUUGCGAUCAGGCAUGAUCUUGUCCUCAGGCUCUUCCGGUUCACCCGGCAUGGACUGGAGUCUAUGAUCAGGCAUGAUCUUGUCCUCAGGCUCCUCUGGUUCACCCGGCAUGGACCGCAGCAUAUGAUCAGGCAUGAUCUUGUCCUCAGGCUCCUCUGGUUCACCUGGCAUGGAUUGCAUUUUGCGAUCAGGCAUGAUCUUGUCAUCAGGCUCUUCCGGUUCACCCGGCAUGGACUGGAGUUUAUAAUCAGGCAUGAUCUUGUCCUCAGGUUCUUCUGGUUCACCCGGCAUGGACUGGAGUUUAUGAUCAGGCAUGAUCUUGUCCUCAGGCUCCUCUGGUUCACCCGGCAUGGACUGCAGCAUAUGGUCAGGCAUGAUCUUGUCCUCAGGCUCUUCUGGUUCACCCGGCAUCGACUGGAGUUUAUGAUCAGGCAUGAUCUUGUCCUCAGGCUCCUCUGGUUCACCCGGCAUGGAUUGCAUUUUGCAAUCAGGCAUGAUCUUGUCCUCAGGCUCUUCCGGUUCACCCGGCAUGGACUGCAGCUUAUGGUCAGGCUUCACUUUGUGCUCAGAUUCUACAUUGAACAUCUCAUGAUCUUGCACGCUCAAACUAACCAUCCCAGGCUUCACAACAUGGUUCAUCUCUAGCUUUCUUGCCUCCAUCAUUGAGAGAUCCUUGAGAACCCUGCGUGCCAAAGUUGAACUAAAGAAGCAUAGUAAGAGAACGAAUCCAAAGCAUCUGCCUUGGUGUCCCUUUG